GAUGAACGCUGGCGGCGUGCCUAAUACAUGCCAGUCGAGCGAACGGACGAGAAGCUUGCUUCUCUGAUGUUAGCGGCGGACGGGUGAGUAACACGUGGAUAACCUACCUAUAAGACUGGGAUAACUUCGGGAAACCGUAGCUAAUACCGGAUAAUAUUUUGAACCGCAUGGUUCAAAAGUGAAAGACGGUCUUGCUGUCACUUAUAGAUGGGUCCGCGCUGCAUUAGCUAGUUGGUAAGGUAACGGCUUACCAAGGCAACGAUGCAUAGCCGACCUGAGAGGGUGAUCGGCCACACUGGAACUGAGAAACGGUCCAGACUCUUACGGGAGGCAGCAGUAGGGAAUCUUCCGCAAUGGGCGAAAGCCUGACGGAGCAACGCCGCGUGAGUGAUGAAGGUCUUCGGAUCGUAAAACUCUGUUAUUAGGGAAGAACAUAUGUGUAAGUAACUGUGCACAUCUUGACGGUACCUAAUCAGAAAGCCACGGCUAACUACGUG
rnacentral:rRNA from 1 species